AUAAGAUUAAGUUAUAUGUUAGACUGAGUGUUUUCAAAACAUUUAGAGAUUGGUUGUCAUCUUAUG
rnacentral:tRNA from 1 species